GUUUGUGUAUACACAUAUAUGUGAAUAUGUACUUAUAUAUUUAUAUAUAUUGGUUCUGUUUCUAUCUGUGGAAGAAUUUAAGUUUUUUGUGAAGAAACUAUUAGAUUGGUGCAAAAGUAAUUGUAACUGCAACAACGCAAUUACUUUUGCACAAACCUAAUACCUGGGUGUGGUCCGAUGAGUCAAACUGUGGAAUGUCAGGAAGUUUGGAUGUGACUUCUGGGUGACAGCUCUGCGAUUGCGCUUCAAGAUCACCCUGCUUCUACUCCCAGAGGCAUACGCCUGGUUGGCAGGGAAGUUCCAUCUCACCACAGAACUGGGAAGCAGAGAGAAGCCUGUCGCCAUCCUUCCCCUGACAUCUUAUUACUGCUUUGAACAAGUGUGCUGCAUUGAAAGAGAUAAGCAGAAAUAGUUGAACCAAAAAUUACAUGAUCCCAUAGUUUGUGCUUAAAAUAAACAAAUAAGCUGA